GAUGAACGCUGGCGGCGUGCCUAAUACAUGCAAGUCGAACGAGAACCUAAUUUCGGUUAGGGGAAAGUGGCGAACGGGUGAGUAACACGUAGGCGACCUGCCCCGCAGGCGGGGGAUAACGCGAGGAAACUCACGCUAAUACCCCAUAAGCCCACAGGCACUAGAAAACCGUAGGGAAAAGAUCUAUCACUGUGGGAGGGGCCUGCGGCCCAUCAGAUAGUUGGCGAGGUAAUGGCUCA
rnacentral:rRNA from 1 species